CAUGGGCAAAGAGUAUGUGCUUAAUAGUUAUGAGCUUAAAGCUGUGGAUCUCUACCUGGACCUUUAUUUGCUUUGAGCAGGCUCUCAGGAAUCUUUACUGGGCUGCUUUUGUGCAUAAAGAAGAUCAGCAGUAAAGUGUGUAGCUUGACAUCACUGAAAUUAGUUCACAGUGGAGGAUUAGAAAGAGGAAUAUCUUUUCUAGUACAAGCUUAGCUUUUAUUGAUGCUCGUAUCUCUCCCAUUCACCACCAACAAAGCCAGAAGCAUAUUCACUGUCAUUUCCUAACUGUGAGGAUUAGAGGAAUACAAGUAAGAACAGACAGAGAGGGAAGUCUGGUGAACCUGAAUUUUUCAUAGGUGGAACAAAAGAGAACACAGGCAGUUAUCUGUGUAAAUUGGUCUAAAGCAAAUCAAAGAAAUUCAGCAAAAAGGGGAUGUUUUGCUUGAAUUGUGGAGCUAAGUACCCUCAUUAUCUCUGUCCUUUACUUCAGUAUUGCUGGGAGGACCUGACCUGAGAAUGCUUUUCCAUGAAGUGACAGAUUCAGAAGUGGAUAGAAAAAGUAUUAUUGUCAUUGCAGCCGUGGAGCUUGAGCCUGAGGUUGCCUGUGUCCAGAACACCUGUUGAGAACGUCUGGGCCCAAACUCUGGUGCUCAGACUAACAUGGUUGGCUGGAAGAAGGGGCUCUGAGAAGAUGAUCAUGGUCUGCAUGCUGGAAGGAGCCAAGGAGUGGAAGACGACAAUGAGCAGCAUCCGACAGGAGAUGACCGUGAUGGUGGACUCGACAGACAAGAGCUAUGUCGAGCAAGGUGCAAACUGCGGCUAGAUGUUCUCGUUCAUGGACACGCACAAUCUGAACGGGAGAGACCCAUUUGUGCCAACUGCAGUUUUAGUGCCAAUAAAUGGUAAGUUCCCCCAAUUGCCCCAUGGAAAAGGUGUGAAGGGAAUCGGGGUGUGUGUCUUAUCUGUA
rnacentral:lncRNA from 1 species